rnacentral:rRNA from 1 species
UACGAAGGUCCCAAGCGUUGUUCGGAUUUACUGGGCGUAAAGGGCGCGUAGGCGGCGUGACAAGUCACUUGUGAAAUCUCCGGGCUUAACUCGGAACGGUCAAGUGAUACUGUUGUGCUAGAGUAUAGAAGGGGCAAUCGGAAUUCUUGGUGUAGCGGUGAAAUGCGUAGAUAUCAAGAGGAACACCAGAGGCGAAGGCGGAUUGCUAGGCUAAUACUGACGCUGAGGCGCGAAAGCUAAGGUAGCAAACGGG